UAUUUUUACUGGCCAGUUGCCGGAGGCCACAGUUUUCAUAGCCUGCCCUCAGCACUGCCCUCACAGUCUGUAGUCUGUGGUGAGACUCAGGCCAGCCUGGCUCCACGAGGACUGAACUAGGCGCUUUUGGCUCUUUUAGCCUGUCUCAUCUGCACAAGACACAAACAGGUGCUGCCUUGUUACCACCAUGCCGGAAGU